ensembl:lncRNA
AUGUGUGUAUGUAUAUUUUAUAUGUGUGUGUGUAUAUUUUAUAUGUGUGUAUGUAUAUUUUAUAUGUGUGUAUGUAUAUUUUAUAUGUGUGUGUGUGUAUUUUAUAUGUGUGUGUGUGUAUUUUAUAUGUGUGUGUGUAUAUUUUAUAUGUGUGUGUGUAUUUUAUGUGUGUGUGUGUGUGUGUAUUUUAUAUGUGUGUAUGUGUAUUUUAUAUGUGUGUAUGUAUAUUUUAUAUGUGUGUAUGUAUAUUUUAUAUGCGUGUUUGUGUGUGUGUGUAUUUUACAUGUGUGUGUGUAUAUUUCAUGUGUGUGUAUAUUUUAUAUGUGUGUGUAUAUUUUAUAUGUGUGUAUGUAUAUUUUAUAUGUGUGUGUGUGUAUUUUAUAUGUGUGUGUGUGUAUUUUAUAUGUGUGUGUGUGUAUUUUAUAUGUGUGUGUGUGUAUUUUAUAUGUGUGUGUGUGUAUUUUAUAUGUGUGUGUGUGUAUUUUAUAUGUGUGUAUGUGUAUUUUAUAUGUGUGUAUGUAUAUUUUAUAUGUGUGUAUGUAUAUUUUAUAUGCGUGUUUGUGUGUGUGUGUAUUUUACAUGUGUGUGUGUAUAUUUCAUGUGUGUGUAUAUUUUAUAUGUGUGUGUAUAUUUUAUAUGUGUGUAUGUAUAUUUUAUAUGUGUGUGUGUGUAUUUUAUAUGUGUGUGUGUGAUUUUUAUAUGUGUGUGUGUAUAUUUUAUAUGUGUGUGUGUGUGUAUUUUUAUAUAUGUGUGUGUAUGUUUUAUAUGUGUGUGUAUUUUAUAUGUGUGUGUGUGUGUGUGUAUUUUAUAUGUGUGUGUAUUUUAUAUGUGUGUGUGUAUUUUAUAUGUGUGUGUAUAUUUUAUAUGUGUGUGUGUGUAUAUUUUAUAUGUGUGUGUGUAUAUUUUAUAUGUGUGUGUAUAUUUUAUAUGUGUGUGUGUAUUUUAUAUGUGUGUGUGUGUGUAUUUUAUAUGUGUGUAUGUUUUAUAUGUGUGUGUGUAUUUUUAUGUGUGCGUGUAUUUUUAUAUGUGUGUGUGUAUAUUUUAUAUGUGUGUGUGUGUGUAUUUUUAUAUAUGUGUGUGUAUGUUUUAUAUGUGUGUGUAUUUUAUAUGUGUGUGUGUGUGUGUGUAUUUUAUAUGUGUGUGUAUUUUAUAUGUGUGUGUGUAUUUUAUAUGUGUGUGUAUAUUUUAUAUGUGUGUGUGUGUAUAUUUUAUAUGUGUGUGUGUAUAUUUUAUAUGUGUGUGUAUAUUUUAUAUGUGUGUGUGUAUUUUAUAUGUGUGUGUGUGUGUAUUUUAUAUGUGUGUAUGUUUUAUAUGUGUGUGUGUAUUUUUAUGUGUGCGUGUAUUUUUAUAUGUGUGUGUGUAUAUUUUAUAUGUGUGUGUGUGUGUAUUUUUAUAUAUGUGUGUGUAUGUUUUAUAUGUGUGUGUAUUUUAUAUGUGUGUGUGUGUGUGUGUAUUUUAUAUGUGUGUGUAUUUUAUAUGUGUGUGUGUAUUUUAUAUGUGUGUGUAUAUUUUAUAUGUGUGUGUGUGUAUAUUUUAUAUGUGUGUGUGUAUAUUUUAUAUGUGUGUGUAUAUUUUAUAUGUGUGUGUGUAUUUUAUAUGUGUGUGUGUGUGUAUUUUAUAUGUGUGUAUGUUUUAUAUGUGUGUGUGUAUUUUUAUGUGUGCGUGUAUUUUUAUAUGUGUGUGUGUAUAUUUUAUAUGUGUGUGUGUGUGUAUUUUUAUAUAUGUGUGUGUAUGUUUUAUAUGUGUGUGUAUUUUAUAUGUGUGUGUGUGUGUGUGUAUUUUAUAUGUGUGUGUAUUUUAUAUGUGUGUGUGUAUUUUAUAUGUGUGUGUAUAUUUUAUAUGUGUGUGUGUGUAUAUUUUAUAUGUGUGUGUGUAUAUUUUAUAUGUGUGUGUAUAUUUUAUAUGUGUGUGUGUAUUUUAUAUGUGUGUGUGUGUGUAUUUUAUAUGUGUGUAUGUUUUAUAUGUGUGUGUGUAUUUUUAUGUGUGCGUGUAUUUUUAUAUGUGUGUGUGUAUAUUUUAUAUGUGUGUGUGUGUGUAUUUUUAUAUAUGUGUGUGUAUGUUUUAUAUGUGUGUGUAUUUUAUAUGUGUGUGUGUGUGUGUGUAUUUUAUAUGUGUGUGUAUUUUAUAUGUGUGUGUGUAUUUUAUAUGUGUGUGUAUAUUUUAUAUGUGUGUGUGUGUAUAUUUUAUAUGUGUGUGUGUAUAUUUUAUAUGUGUGUGUAUAUUUUAUAUGUGUGUGUGUAUUUUAUAUGUGUGUGUGUGUGUAUUUUAUAUGUGUGUAUGUUUUAUAUGUGUGUGUGUAUUUUUAUGUGUGCGUGUAUUUUUAUAUGUGUGUGUGUAUUUUUAUAUAUGUGUGUGUAUGUUUUAUAUGUGUGUAUUUUAUAUGUGUUUGUAUAUUUUAUAUGUUUAAGAAUGGAGCUGGUAUUAUGGGAUGUUCUUCCUGCUCUUUUUCAAUCAUUGGCAUUCUGUAACAUCAGUCUCCUUUGA